rnacentral:rRNA from 1 species
UACGUAGGGUGCAAGCGUUGUCCGGAAUUAUUGGGCGUAAAGCGCUCGUAGGCGGUUUUUCGCGUCUGCUGUGAAAACUCGGGGCUUAACUCCGGGCCUGCAGUGGGUACGGGCAGACUAGAGUGCGGUAGGGGAGACUGGAAUUCCUGGUGUAGCGGUGAAAUGCGCAGAUAUCAGGAGGAACACCGGUGGCGAAGGCGGGUCUCUGGGCCGUAACUGACGCUGAGGAGCGAAAGCGUGGGGAGCGAACAGG